AGUGAACGCUGGCGGUAGGCCUAACACAUGCGAGUCGAACGGCAGCACAGUAAGAGCUUGCUCUUACGGGUGGCGAGUGGCGGACGGGUGAGGAAUACAUCGGAAUCUACUUUUUCGUGGGGGAUAACGUAGGGAAACUUACGCUAAUACCGCAUACGACCUACGGGUGAAAGCAGGGGAUCUUCGGACCUUGCGCGAUUGAAUGAGCCGAUGUCGGAUUAGCUAGUUGGCGGGGUAAAGGCCCACCAAGGCGACGAUCCGUAGCUGGUCUGAGAGGAUGGUCAGCCACACUGGAGCGGAGACACGGUCCAGACUCCUACGGGAGGCAGCAGUGGGGAAUAUUGGACAAUGGGCGCAAGCCUGAUCCAGCCAUACCGCGUGGGUGAAGAAGGCCUUCGGGUUGUAAAGCCCUUUUGUUGGGAAAGAAAAGCAGCAGGUUAAUACCCCGCUGUUCUGACGGUACCCAAAGAAUAAGCACCGGCUAACUUCGUG
rnacentral:rRNA from 1 species